rnacentral:rRNA from 1 species
GUCCACGCCGUAAACGAUGGAUGCUAGCCGUCGGCAAGCUUGCUUGUCGGUGGCGCAGCUAACGCAUUAAGCAUCCCGCCUGGGGAGUACGGCCGCAAGGUUAAAACUCAAAGGAAUUGACGGGGGCCCGCACAAGCGGUGGAGCAUGUGGUUUAAUUCGACGCAACGCGAAGAACCUUACCAAGCCUUGACAUGUCCGGUCGGUUUCCAGAAAUGGAUUCCUCCUAGCAAUAGGUCGGAACACAGGUGCUGCAUGGCUGUCGU